rnacentral:sRNA from 1 species
UGAGACUGAUGUUGAGUUUGUUUCUUGCUGCUAUCGUCUUCAUAGAGAGGACACACGGCAUAGCGUGUACAGCCAACAUCUGCGACCUAGUGGAUUGUAUACAUCAUACACCCGAGAACUGCCCCGGGAAAUUCGUGAAGAAUGGCGGCUAUUGUGGCUGCUGUGACGCAUGUUUAGCUAUUUUAAAACCUGGUGAUACCUGCUACAGUUUAUUUUUAGCUGGAUCCCCUAACACGACUAUCUGCCCUGACGACUACCACUGUGAUACAAAUACCUUUAAGUGUACAGCGAAUUAAAUGAAAAGUUGGGGGAUUUAAAAUGUAUACCGACUUCUUGAGAGGUGUUAGCACCUAUAUCGACACAAGUGGACAGG